GAGAAAGUUACUAAGGGCGUAUGGCGGAUGCCUAGGCUCUCAGAGGCGAUGAAGGACGUGAUAAGCUGCGAUAAGCUUCGGGAAGGUGCACAUAACCUUUGAUCCGAAGAUUUCCGAAUGGGGCAACCCAGCAUGUUGAAGACAUGUUACCCGAAAGGGGGCAAACCCGGUGAACUGAAACAUCUAAGUAGCCGGAGGAAGAGAAAACAAUAGUGAUUUCCCUAGUAGUGGCGAGCGAACGGGAAAUAGCCCAAACCGUACAGUUUUCGGACUGUGCGGGGUUGUAGGACUGCAUUAUGGCUCUGUUAUUUAAGUGAAACCCUCUGGAAAGUGGGACCAUAGACGGUGAUAGUCCGGUACACGUACCGAUAACAGACCUAGCAGGAUCCUGAGUAGUGCGGGACAUGUGAAAUCCUGUAUGAAUCUGCCAGAACCAUCUGGUAAGGCUAAAUACUCCUGAGAGACCGAUAGUGAACAAGUACCGUGAGGGAAAGGUGAAAAGUACCCUGAACAAGGGAGUGAAAUAGUUCCUGAAACCGUACGCCUACAAGCGGUCGGAGCCUUUCGAGGUGACGGCGUGCCUUUUGCAUAAUGAACCUACGAGUUACUCUUCACUGGCAAGGUUAAGUGGUGCAGCCACGUAGCCGAAGCGAAAGCGAGUUUGAACAGAGCGUUCAGUCAGUGGAGGUAGACGCGAAACCUGGUGAUCUACCCAUGGGCAGGUUGAAAUUCCGGUAACACGGGAUGGAGGACCGAACCAGUACACGUUGAAAGGUGUUUGGAUGACCUGUGGGUAGGGGUGAAAGGCCAAUCAAACUGGGAAAUAGCUCGUACUCUCCGAAAUGCAUUUAGGUGCAGCGUUGAAAUUAGUUUACAUGAGGUAGAGCUACUGAUAGGAUGCGGGGGCUUCACCGCCUACCAAAUCCUGACAAACUCCGAAUACGUGUAAAUAUAUUCAGCAGUGAGGGCAUGGGUGCUAAGGUCCAUGUCCGAGAGGGAAAGAACCCAGACCGACAGCUAAGGUCCCCAAGUAUAUGCUAAGUUGAUCUAACGUGGUCCGAUUGCUUUGACAGCUAGGAUGUUGGCUUGGAAGCAGCCAUUCAUUUAAAGAGUGCGUAACAGCUCACUAGUCGAGCGAUUGGGCGUGGAUAAUAAUCGGGCAUUAAGCAUAUCACCGAAGCUUCGGAUUUUAUGGUAGGAGAGCAUUCUAUUUGCGCCGAAGGUGUGUCGUGAGGCAUGCUGGAGCGGAUAGAAAAGAAAAUGUAGGUAUAAGUAACGAUAAGGCAGGCGAGAAACCUGCCCGCCGCAAGACCAAGGUUUCCUGAGCAACGCUAAUCGGCUCAGGGUUAGUCAGGACCUAAGGCGAACCCGAACGGGGUAGUCGAUGGACAACAGGUUAAUAUUCCUGUACUUCCUAAUAUUGCGAUGGGGUGACGAAGCAGUGAAAGUCUCGCGUACGGACGGAAUAGUACGUUGAAGCACGUAGGUAUAAGGACCGUAGGCAAAUCCGCGGACCUUGCUGAAAUGCGAUAGUACCACAAGCCUUCGGGUGCGUGGAUAGUAGACCUAAUCAUACUUCCAAGAAAAACCUCUAAGCUUCAGAUAUUAGGAACCUGUACCGUAAACCGACACAGGUGGUCGAGGAGAGCAUCCUAAGGCGCUCGAGUGAUUCAUGGCUAAGGAACUAGGCAAAAUGGCCCCGUAACUUCGGGAUAAGGGGUGCUGACUUCGGUCAGCCGCAGUGAAUAGGCCCAGGCGACUGUUUAUCAAAAACACAGGACUCUGCUAAAUCGAAAGAUGAUGUAUAGGGUCUGACACCUGCCCGGUGCUGGAAGGUUAAUAGGAGGAGUUAUCUUCGGAGAAGCUCUGAAUUGAAGCCCCAGUAAACGGCGGCCGUAACUAUAACGGUCCUAAGGUAGCGAAAUUCCUUGUCGGGUAAGUUCCGACCUGCGCACUGUCUCGGCCAUGAGCUCGGUGAAAUUGUAGUAUCGGUGAAGAUGCCGAUUACCCGCAACGGGACGGAAAGACCCCGUGAACCUUCACUACAGCUUUGUAUUGACAUUGGACAAAUAAUGUGUAGGAUAGGUGGGAGACUUCGAAGCUGCGUCGCCAGGCGUGGUGGAGUCGUCCUUGAAAUACCACCCUUUAUUUGUCUAGUGCCUAAUCCCGAAAGGGAGACAGUGCAUGGUGGGUAGUUUGACUGGGGUGGUCGCCUCCAAAAGAGUAACGGAGGCUUCUAAAGGUUCCCUCAGCACGCUUGGUAACCGUGCGUAGAGUGCAAUGGCAUAAGGGAGCUUGACUGUGAGACCGACAAGUCGAGCAGGUACGAAAGUAGAGCAUAGUGAUCCGGUGGUUCCGCAUGGAAGGGCCAUCGCUCAAAGGAUAAAAGGUACUCCGGGGAUAACAGGCUGAUCUCCCCCAAGAGCUCACAUCGACGGGGGGGUUUGGCACCUCGAUGUCGGCUCGUCACAUCCUGGGGCUGGAGAAGGUCCCAAGGGUUGGGCUGUUCGCCCAUUAAAGUGGCACGCGAGCUGGGUUCAGAACGUCGUGAGACAGUUCGGUCCCUAUCUGUUGUGGGCGUUAGAAAUUUGAGAGGACCCGACUCUAGUACGAGAGGACCGAGUUGGACAGACCUCUGGUGUACCAGUUGUGCCGCCAGGUGCAGUGCUGGGUAGCUAUGUCUGGAUGAGAUAAGCGCUGAAAGCAUAUAAGCGCGAAACUCACCUCAAGAUGAGAUUUCUUUUAAGGGUCGUUAGAGACGAUGACGUUGAUAGGAUGCAGGUGUAAAGCCAGCGAUGGCAAAGCCGAGCAUUACUAAUUACCCGUAGACUUUCUCAG
rnacentral:rRNA from 1 species